AACGGGUGAGUAAUGCAUAGGCAAUCUGCCCCUAAGCCCGGAAUAGCUCUUCGAAAGGAGGGGUAAUACCGGAUGUGGUCGCCCUGCGCAUGCAGGGUUAUCCAAAGGCGGGGAUCCGCAAGGACCUGUCACUUAGGGAUGAGCCUAUGUCCUAUCAGCUUGUUGGUGAGGUAACGGCUCACCAAGGCUUACGGGUAGCUGGUCUGAGAGGAUGGUCAGCCACACUGGGACUGAGACACUGCCCAGACUCCUACGGGAGGCUGCAGUCGAGGAUCUUGGACAAUGCGCGAAAGCGUGAUCCAGCGACGUCGCGUGCAGGAUGAAGGCCUUCGGGUUGUAAACUGCUGUCAUGAGGGAGCAAGAGCCGAUGGGCUAAGACCGUAUCGGUUUGAUAGUACCUCAGGAGGAAGACACGGCUAACUCUGUGCCAGCAGCCGCGGUAAUACAGAGGUGUCGAGCGUUGUUCGGAUUUACUGGGCGUAAAGGGUGCGUAGGCGGUAUCGUGUGUCGGACGUGAAAUCUCGCUGCUUAACGGCGAAACGGCGUCCGAAACUACGAAACUAGAGUGCAGGAGAGGAAAGCGGAAUUCUAGGUGUAGCGGUGAAAUGCGUAGAUAUCUAGAAGAACACCGGUGGCGAAGGCGGCUUUCUGGACUGAUACUGACGCUGAGGCAUGAAGGCUGGGGGAGCAAACAGGAUUAGAUACCCUGGUAGUCCCAGCAGUAAACGUUGUACACUUGGUGUGGGAGGAGUUAUCCCCUUCCGUGCCGGAGCUAACGCGUUAAGUGUACCGCCUGGGGAGUACGGCCGCAAGGCUAAAACUCAAAGGAAUUGACGGGGGCCCGCACAAGCGGUGGAGCAUGUGGCUUAAUUCGAUGCAACGCGAAGAACCUUACCUGGGCUUGACAUAUAACUGCACGCCCCGUGAAAGCGGGGUUCCUUCGAGGGUGUUAUACAGGUGCUGCAUGGCUGUCGUCAGCUCGUGCCGUGAGGUGUUGGGUUAAGUCCCGCAACGAGCGCAACCCUUGUGACUAGUUGCCACUUCCACUUCGGUGGGAAGCACUCUAGUCAGACUGCCCGUGAUAAGCGGGAGGAAGGUGGGGAUGACGUCAAGUCCGUAUGGCCUUUAUGCCCAGGGCUGCACACGUGCUACAAUGGAUGGUACAGAAGGACGCAAGACCGCGAGGUGGAGCAAAUCCCCAAAACCAUCCACAGUUCAGAUUGGAGUCUGCAACUCGACUCCAUGAAGCUGGAAUCGCUAGUAAAGGCGUAUCAGCUACGACGCCUUGAAUACGUUCCCGGGCCUUGUACACACCGCCCGUCACAUCAUGAAAGCCGAUUGCACCCGAAGUCGCCGACUC
rnacentral:rRNA from 1 species